rnacentral:antisense_RNA from 1 species
CUCAAUGGUGGGCCGGGCGGAGGCGCCGCAAGGCGCACCGGUGUCCAGUAAGGCCGGUAAGACCAACUCCGUCCGGUUCCACCACCCGC